AAAACAGUUUAACUCUUUUAAAAAAUUAAUAAUCAAAUUUAAUUUAAAAAAAAUAAUAGUAAAUUUAAAAAAAAUGUAAAUAUUAAUAACUAAAUUUAUCAUGUGAAUCCUAAACCCUUUCUUUUCUUUGUCAAAUAAUUGAGAGUCCAAAUUUUUUUUUUUUUAAUUUGGAUAAUGUUAUAAACAAUUGAUCACCAUACAUCUCCCUCUCUGACCUUUUUUCUUGACCCUUAGUCUCUCAUCAUCAUCACUAAUUUGACACAAUCCUUAGCCAUUCAACACUCUCUAGCAUCACUAUUUGCAACACAAUAUCACCUUCGUCAUCAACAGUAUCAUCUUCAUUAUUACUGCCUCCACCUCUCUUACCAUUGAACCUAGAAGCACCAACUACUUCAACCACCACACUAAAAAACCGAAACCCAAACCAUAAACAAUCAUUCAUACCAAAAAUUCAACAUAAGAAAAAUUCAACCAAUAAAUAAAACCAACAAAAUAAUAAAAAGAAUUGAUCCUAUUGUUUCGAAGAAUCUAAACCAAACCUACAAGCAGAGAAGAGAAAACAUUAAAAAAAAGAAGGGAAAUAAAUUGAAAAAAAAAAGGAGACUUAUCUCUGUACGAGUUUAGGUUUGGAGCACCAAGAUUCCAUUCAACAACUUGAACAACGAUGAGGUGUAUUCAGCCAAGGAGAGCCACAUAUCUCAUACGCAAGGCGAUUGAACGACGAAAAUGGUAGAUCAAGAUAAGAGAAUUUCAAAGGUGACUUGGUAUUUUCAAGGUUUUUAGGUGGGUUUCGAGAAUAUUUGAACCGUUAGUUUGAAAGAGAAAGGAAAGGAAAGGUGGACUGCUUAGUGGCGUUGCCGGAGCACGACUGUUAAGGAAGAGUAGCGCAAGGAAAAAGAUGAGGUAAAGGAUAGGAUAGAAGGAAAAAAAGAACAAGGGAAAAAAGAAUAAAGAAAGGGGAAAAUGAAUAGACAAUUAACUUAACCGUGGAAGAGAUAGAUUUAAUGGUAGAGUGAUAGUUUGGUCAAUUUUUUUAACGGUAGUAAUCAAAUUAACAAUAAAAAAUUAGGAUGAGCUAAAUAGGAUUAACCUCUAUUUAGAAUGAUUACAAGAUACUUUACCCAAAAUUUUAUAGAUUCUUCCCGUGUUGUAAUCAAAAAGUUUUCUUAAAUGUGAAGUAGGAUCCUAAAAUCAGUAUACUAUUUAUUUCUCUAAACUUUAUUAGAACCAAUCUCUAGGGUGGAGAUAUUUUUAAGGAUGCUUUUAAUAGAGUUUUAAGGUAUGUUUGGUUGAGUGAAAAAGAAGAAAGAUGAAAGGGAAAUGGAAAUGAAAAAAUGAAUAUAUAUAUUUAGUACACUAUCUGAUAAAGAAGAGUGAAAGAAAAAAAAGAUCAUUUUAAAUUAGAAAGAUAAAAAUAGAAAAAAUGAGUGAUAAUGUAUAUUAAUUCAAAAUUAUGUAAUUUUCAAAAAUAUUAUUUUCUUUCUUUUCAUUUUUUUUUAACUCUACCCAGCAAUAAAUGAAAAAAAAAUUUACUUUUAUCUUUUUCCUCUCAAGCACAAGUACAGAAAAAAAAAUUUAUAUUUUCUAUUCUUCUAUUUUUCUAUUCUUUCAAUUUUCUUUCCAUUCUACCAAUUAGAAUCUGAGUAUUUUUUUUUAUUUUGUCAAAGUUGUUUCCUAAUGCAGGUUACGAUUUUAACUUUCAAUUUUUAGGUUAAACAUUUUCCCAACUCUCUCACCCUAACACCCAAAGUUUCCCUUUAAACUAUUUAAAUUUUUGUCAAAAUUGAAUAAAUAUUUUAAAAUAUUAAAAUAGAUUUACUUAGACUAUUAUACCUAUGUUUAUUUUGGGUUCUAACUAUUAAAAAUAGAUUCACCCUUAGUUUCCCUUAAACUUCAGCAUAUGGCUCAUUGGUCAAAGGUGUUCAAUCUAUAAUUUCUAACUAUGUCAUAAAAUUCGGAUUUGGACUAAAUUAAUUAAGUGAGAUUAGUAUAUAAUUUAAAAUAGAAUAAUCACAAGUCAAGUAGGGAUUGAGAAGGUCGAAUAAUUAAGUGUUAUUGAAUUAAACUGGUUAAUAAAAAUAGUACAUGGGCUAAAUUGCUUAGUGAACAAAGUAUGAAGGGAUUAAAUUUUAAUUUGGUCAAUGCUUUAAACGGAAAUUAAACUAAGGUUAAAAUAAUAGUUAAACCAUUCUAAAUGGUAUGUUAAAGCUUAACUAAUGUUCGUGUCAUCACUUUCCACUAACUAACCUUAUACUUAAUAAACUAUUAGAUUAAGUGAAUAAUUAAAUUAAUUGUUAUGCUAAUUGUCAGUAUAAAUAUACAAGCUAAGCGCCCCGGGGGGGGAGAGAGAAACACAUAUUCAUUCUUUCUUUGCUUCUCCAUAAUCGAUUGUGAAAUAAGGUUUUAGCAACACUUCAAUUUCUUCAUUUGGCUAUCAAAUUGACAAGGUAGGUGGGCUUAUUUCUUCUUAAAUUUCAUAGAUUUCUUUAUUAUAAGAUGUGUUCUAGUUAACACUCCUUAAAGUUUGGUAUUAUGAAAAUUAAUCUAAGUUAUCUUUGUAGAGAAGGUUAUGGAAUCAUGAAAAGCUAGUUCUUAAUUUUGUUGCAAGUGGGAAAAAGCUUAGUAAGAUAAUGAGUUAGGUAAGAGUAAGUCUAAUUUUAGCUUAAAACUUUGAAAGUUAUUAUUGCUUUAUUAAGGACUAAAUUGUAAAGGAUAAAAAUUUUGAUGUUUGAAAAUAAAUAAUGGUAGUAGGUCCUUAUUCUAUAUUUAUUAAGUCAGAUUUAAAUUUGACCAGGUAAAUUGUGAGAAAUGGGUGUUUCAGAUGUUAAGGACUAAAUCAAAUAAAGUGCAUUCAUAUUUAGUUUUAUAUUUUUUUGUCCAAACCAUAUAUCUAAUGGAUUUUUCAUAUCCAAAUUUAUCUUACAUAG
rnacentral:lncRNA from 1 species